rnacentral:sRNA from 1 species
GCAUACCACUCGUACGCUUCGGUUCUGAGCGCGCCGUCCGCGCCCACCUGACAGCUGCUCGCUACGGUUUGUUAGCC